GACAGAGGAUGCAAGCGUUAUCCGGAAUGAUUGGGCGUAAAGCGUCUGUAGGUGGCUUUUAAGUCCGCCGUCAAAUCCCAGGGCUCAACCCUGGACAGGCGGUGGAAACUAUCAAGCUGGAGUACGGUAGGGGCAGAGGGAAUUUCCGGUGGAGCGGUGAAAUGCGUAGAGGAUCGGAAAGAACACCAACGGCGAAAGCAACUCUGCUGGGCCGACACUGACACUGAGAGACGAAAGCUAGGGGAGCGAAUGGG
rnacentral:rRNA from 1 species